UACGGGGGGAGCAAGCGUUGUUCGGAUUUACUGGGCGUAAAGGGCGCGUAGGCGGUCAGCACAAGUCAGUUGUGAAAUCUCCGGGCUUAACCCGGAAAGGUCAACUGAUACUGUGCGACUAGAGUGCGGAAGGGGCAACUGGGAUUCCCGGUGUAGCGGUGAAAUGCGUAGAGCUCGGGAAGAACAUCGGUGGCGAAAGCGCUCUACUGGACGACAACUGACACUCAGGGACGAAAGCUAGGGGAGCGAAUGGG
rnacentral:rRNA from 1 species